GCGGAGGAAAAGAAACCAACAGGGAUUGCCCUAGUAACGGCGAGUGAAGCGGCAACAGCUCAAAUUUGAAAUCUGGCUUCGGCCCGAGUUGUAAUUUGCAGAGGAAGCUUUAGGCGCGGCACCUCCUGAGUCCCCUGGAACGGGGCGCCACAGAGGGUGAGAGCCCCGUAUAGUUGGAUGCCUAGCCUGUGUAAAGCUCCUUCGACGAGUCGAGUAGUUUGGGAAUGCUGCUCAAAAUGGGAGGUAAAUUUCUUCUAAAGCUAAAUACCGGCCAGAGACCGAUAGCGCACAAGUAGAGUGAUCGAAAGAUGAAAAGCACUUUGAAAAGAGGGUUAAAUAGCACGUGAAAUUGUUGAAAGGGAAGCGCUUGUGACCAGACUUGCGCCGGGCUGAUCAUCCGGUGUUCUCACCGGUGCACUCUGCCCGGCUCAGGCCAGCAUCGGUUCUCGCGGGGGGAUAAAGGCCCUGGGAACGUAGCUCCUCCGGGAGUGUUAUAGCCCGGGGCGCAAUGCCCUCGCGGGGACCGAGGUUCGCGCUCUGCAAGGAUGCUGGCGUAAUGGUCAUCAGCGACCCGUCUUGAAACACGGACCAAGGAGUCAAGGUUUUGCGCGAGUGUUUGGGUGUAAAACCCGCACGCGUAAUGAAAGUGAACGUAGGUGAGAGCUUCGGCGCAUCAUCGACCGAUCCUGAUGUUCUCGGAUGGAUUUGAGUAGGAGCGUUAAGCCUUGGACCCGAAAGAUGGUGAACUAUGCUUGGAUAGGGUGAAGCCAGAGGAAACUCUGGUGGAGGCUCGCAGCGGUUCUGACGUGCAAAUCGAUCGUCAAAUCUGAGCAUGGGGGCGAAAGACUAAUCGAACCAUCUAGUAGCUGGUUACGCCG
rnacentral:rRNA from 1 species